UGUAUUAUCUUAUAUUUAAUUCACUGAUCAUUUAGAUGCUUAUGAAAACUCAGGAAAUUCAAAGGUUAUUAUAUCAAAACAAAGAAAACUGAGGAAAAAGCGACUUUUUCAGCAAAAAUAAUCAAUAACUGAAUGU